GAAUUACUGGGCGUAAAGCGAGCGCAGACGGUUACUUAAGCAGGAUGUGAAAUCCCCGGGCUCAACCUGGGAACUGCGUUCUGAACUGGGUGACUAGAGUGUGUCAGAGGGAGGUAGAAUUCCACGUGUAGCAGUGAAAUGCGUAGAGAUGUGGAGGAAUACCGAUGGCGAAGGCAGCCUCCUGGGAUAACACUGACGUUCAUGCUCGAAAGCGUGGGUAGCAAACAGGAUUAGAUACCCUGGUAGUCCACGCCCUAAACGAUGUCAAUUAGCUGUUGGGCAACUUGAUUGCUUAGUAGCGUAGCUAACGCGUGAAAUUGACCGCCUGGGGAGUACGGUCGCAAGAUUAAAACUCAAAGGAAUUGACGGGGACCCGCACAAGCGGUGGAUGAUGUGGAUUAAUUCGAUGCAACGCGAAGAACCUUACCUGGUCUUGACAUGUACGGAAUCCUCCAGAGACGGAGGAGUGCCUUCGGGAACCGUAACACAGGUGCUGCAUGGCUGUCGUCAGCUCGUGUCGUGAGAUGUUGGGUUAAGUCCCGCAACGAGCGCAACCCUUGUCAUUAGUUGCCAUCAUUUAGUUGGGCACUCUAAUGAGACUGCCGGUGACAAGCCGGAGGAAGGUGGGGAUGACGUCAAGUCCUCAUGGCCCUUAUGACCAGGGCUUCACACGUCAUACAAUGGUCGGUACAGAGGGUAGCCAAGCCGCGAGGUGGAGCCAAUCUCACAAAACCGAUCGUAGUCCGGAUUGCACUCUGCAACUCGAGUGCAUGAAGUCGGAAUCGCUAGUAAUCGCAGGUCAGCAUACUGCGGUGAAUACGUUCCCGGGUCUUGUACACACCGCCCGUCACACCAUGGGAGUGGGGGAUACCAGAAGUAGGUAGGGUAACCGCAAGGAGCCCGCUACCACGGUA
rnacentral:rRNA from 1 species